GUUACCAUUGUUUUGUUUUGUUUGACGCUGAUUGCUUUGACACAAAGAGUUGGAAAAGGUCCUACUGGCAGGCAAGCCUGCCGAGGAAACAAAGGGUGCGCAAAAAACAGGGUUGAAUAGAACCGGUCAGACCGGCCUACCAUACGUAAUGAUCCUUCCGCAGGUUCACCUACGGAAA
rnacentral:misc_RNA from 1 species